AUAAUAAUAAUAUGACAAAAACUUGUGUGAGACCGUCUCAUAGGUCUCAAUCCAUGAGGCGAGUCGGAUCUUUGAUUAAUGAGAUAAAAAAUUUGACCCAUUAAUCAAAGACCCGACCCAUAUCACGUAUUGAGACUCGUGAGACGGUCUCACACAAGUG